rnacentral:tRNA from 1 species
CCAUAGCUCAGUUGGUAGAGCAAAGGACUGAAAAUCCUUGUGUCCCCGGUUCGAUUCCUGGUGGCAC